rnacentral:rRNA from 1 species
AACGAACGCUGGCGGCAGGCUUAACACAUGCAAGUCGAACGGGUGUAGCAAUACAUCAGUGGCAGACGGGUGAGUAACACGUGGGAACCUUCCUCGUUGUACGGAACAACUCAGGGAAACUUGAGCUAAUACCGUAUACGUCCGAGAGGAGAAAGAUUUAUCGCAAUGAGACGGGCCCGCGUCGGAUUAGCUAGUUGGUGGGGUAACGGCCUACCAAGGCGACGAUCCGUAGCUGAUCUGAGAGGAUGAUCAGCCACACUGGGACUGAGACACGGCCCAGACUCCUACGGGAGGCAGCAGUGGGGAAUCUUGGACAAUGGGCGCAAGCCUGAUCCAGCCAUGCCGCGUGAGUGAAGAAGGCCUUAGGGUUGUAAAGCUCUUUUGCCAGGGACGAUAAUGACGGUACCUGGAGAAUAAGCCCCGGCAAACUUCGUGCCAGCCCCCGCCGUAAUAC